GGGUAUGUUCCGAUAUGCACUGCGACCACUGUACAGUGUGACGUCAAUUUAGUAUACUGUGAAGCCGUUCCUUUAUAGUUAGUUAUACUGGUUACUAUUUAAAACGGAACGCAAUCCCGUAUACUGUCAGCCGCAUUUUUUGACGCAGUAUUCAAAUGAGUUUAUUAAAGUUUUCUAGUUCAUUAAAAAAAACUGUUGUUGGAGUACUAUCAAAUUAAAAAUAUUUUAAUUAAUAUUAAAUGUAAAUUGAAUUUAUAAUAUAAUAAAAGUAAUGGAGUAUCCAGUAAUUGGAAUAGUACUUGUUGGUGCAGUUCGAAAUUUAUUGGAAUCUUCAGACGAAGAUGAUUCUAGC